CGGUGUUCAACUGGCGUGCCCGCGGGACGUCCUGCCGGUGAGCUCAGCCCGCGAGGGCGGCUCAACUUGAAAUCCCAUCGCGGUGCUCUUCAUUGAGUGUCGAGGUGGGCCGGCACGAUUACUUUUGAACAAAUUAGAGUGCUUAAAGCAGGCUAAAAUUUUGCCUGAAUACUGUGUAUAUGGAAUAAUGGAAUAGGACCUCGGUUCUAUUUUGUUGGUUUUCGGAACCCCGAGGUAAUGAUUAAUAGGAACGGAUGGGGGCAUUCGUAUUGCGACGUUAGAGGUGAAAUUCUUGGAUCGUCGCAAGACGGACUAAAGCGAAAGCAUUUGCCAAAAACGCUUUCAUUGAUCAAGAACGAAAGUUAGAGGUUCGAAGGCGAUCAGAUACCGCCCUAGUUCUAACCAUAAACUAUGCCAGCUAGCGAUCCGCCGACGUCCCUCUGAUGACUCGGCGGGCAGCUUCCGGGAAACCAAAGCUUUUGGGUUCCGGGGGAAGUAUGGUUGCAAAGCUGAAACUUAAAGGAAUUGACGGAAGGGCACCACCAGGAGUGGAGCCUGCGGGCUUAAUUUGACUCAACACGGGAAACCUCACCAGGCCCAGACACUGGAAGGAUUGACAGAUUGAGAGCUCUUUCUUGAUUCAGUGGGUGGUGGUGCAUGGCCGUUCUUAGUCGGUGGAGCGAUUUGUCAGGUUAAUUCCGAUAACGGACGAGACUCUGACCUGAUAACUAGACGCACUUGCGGCAUCUCAAAGGUCCGCCGGCGGCUGGCUUUGCGCCCGUCGUCGCGCGCGAUUUUUACUGCCGGCGUACAAUAAAUUCUUCUUAGAGGGACAAGUGG
rnacentral:rRNA from 1 species